rnacentral:rRNA from 1 species
CAGUCGCCGCGGUAAUACGAAGGGUGCAAGCGUUACUCGGAAUUACUGGGCGUAAAGCGUGCGUAGGUGGUGGUUUAAGUCCGUUGUGAAAGCCCUGGGCUCAACCUGGGAAUUGCAGUGGAUACUGGGUCACUAGAGUGUGGUAGAGGAUAGUGGAAUUUCCGGUGUAGCAGUGAAAUGCGUAGAGAUCUGGAGGAAUACCGGUGGCGAAGGCGGCCCCCUGGACAAAGACUGACGCUCAGGUGCGAAAGCGUGGGGAGCAAACAGGAUUAGAUACCCCCGUAGUCCCUGUCUCUUAUAC